UAAAAAAUUGCAACCGAAGUUAUUCAGCUUCUCUGGGCCUGGUAUUUAGCACGGGACUAAAUUCGUGAUGCUACAGUAGAUGCUACAGUAACUCCGGAUUUGGCCCGGCCCAUCUGGCCCAUGGGCUGUUACAGACCAACUCGAGGCAGAGUUAGAGCUAUGCCAAACCCUAAAUACGGGAGAGCAACUUGGUCAAUUAAUACAGAACUACCUUUCCUUCGUGGAUCAUAAGCUUCAAGAUAGGCCUUGCUGCCAGCCAAGAAGCCCACAUCACGCCUAAACAGGCCGUACGAGAGCCUGUCAGUCAGUCUGUCACCGUUCCGACCGUGGGCCGUUUCGUCGAGCCGAGCUCGCCACGCGAUGCUUUUGCGAGCGAGCACGCGGGUGCGGUGGCCGGCGGACGAGCGGGCCCCGCUUCGCCGCCCGCUCUGCUUCCUCCCUCCUCGAACUCCGCCGCCGAGGCAGGGAAAACUGCAGGCCACUCCGGGAGCGACGCCGAAGCAUGCGCCACCGGGAACGCGGAGGGUUGGGGUGGGCGUGCCGCUGCCGAGGAGGAGGUGCUUCCCCCAACCAUCACUGCCACUGGCCGUGGCGGGGCGCUCCCAUGGCAUGCCGCGAAGGACAUCCUGGCAUCGCGUCCAUCUGCAGUUCUUCACCGAGCAAAUGCAGGUGCAACCUCGACGGUAUACUGUCUCCGCCGCUUGCCCCUCCACGUUUUUGACAUUCUUCUAUGAUGUUCAUGAUAAUGCUACAAAACACAUACCUGCUGAAGCAGCUUGGACAUCGUUGCCCGCGGAAUCCCUGACAUGGAGGACUAGUUUCCUGCUGCAAUUCUGGCAAGCUGCAUAGAAAUCUUUGACAGCCAGUGAAACGCUGGUCCGUGCUACUUUCCCCACCAAGGAACCCAAGUCGAGGAUCACACCGACAUGGAAUUCAUUGGAGCUGCUUCCUGUGGUGUUCUGAGCUGCAGUGGAAUUGAAGAUGAGUAGCAGGAAGAGGACGUACUGAUUUGCUCUCGCCAUUUCCCUUUUUGUGGAAGGUAUGCAAGUCCUUUGUGAGAGCAAGGCAGUGGAACUGAUAUGUAGUCUAUUAUCAGGAUUGCGAGAUGACUUUAGGCACCGGUUCCUAAGUCAGGUGACCUGGUCAAGCCGGAAGUUGCAAGGUAGUUCAGUCACUAAUUCCGGUGAUGCAAUGUCUCCCUACCAAGUAUUCACCGGUGACUGAAAAUACUGGCACAUGGAGACCCACUUGUAUCAGUUUCGAUGUUGAUUGGUCCUGUAACAGUGUAAUGUGAUUGCCGGCCAAUUGUUUGAAUGGUCGCGCAAGCGCUGGGAAUUUCUGCUGAGAUUCUUACUCUAUGAUUUACAUUUAAUAUUUAACUUUUCGUGUGCAGGUAAA